rnacentral:rRNA from 1 species
GGGCCCGCACAAGCGGUGGAGCAUGUGGUUUAAUUCGAUGAUACGCGAGGAACCUUACCAGGACUUAAAUGUAAGUUGCAUGAUUCAGAAAUGAAUCUUUCUUCGGACUACUUACAAGGUGCUGCAUGGUUGUCGUCAGCUCGUGCCGUGAGGUGUCAGGUUAAGUCCUAUAACGAGCGCAACCCCUAUCGUUAGUUGCCAUCAAGUAAAGUUGGGAACUCUAGCGAAACUGCCGGUGCAAACCGAGAGGAAGGUGGGGAUGACGUCAAAUCAUCACGGCCCUUACGUUCUGGGCUACACACGUGCUACAAUGGUCGGUACAGAAAGCAGCCACUAUGCGAAUAGGAGCUAAUCUUUAAAACCGAUCUCAGUUCGGAUCGCAGUCUGCAACUCGACUGCGUGAAGCUGGAAUC